GUGUCAGCAGCCGCGGUAAUACGGGGGGGGCAAGCGUUGUUCGGAAUUACUGGGCGUAAAGGGCUCGUAGGCGGCCGCACAAGUCCGACGUGAAAUCCCUCGGCUCAACCGAGGAACUGCGUCGGAAACUAGGUGGCUUGAAUCCAAGAGAGGGAUGCGGAAUUCCAGGUGUAGCGGUGAAAUGCGUAGAUAUCUGGAGGAACACCGGUGGCGAAGGCGGCAUCCUGGAUUGGUAUUGACGCUGAGGAGCGAAAGCCAGGGGAGCAAACGGGAUUAGAAACCCGCGUAGUCC
rnacentral:rRNA from 1 species